GCGCGGUGGCGCGCACCUGUAGUCCCAGCUACUCGGGAGGCUGAGGCUGGAGGAUCGCUUGAGCCCAGGAGACAGGAAAGAGCCGCUUGUAGGGGA